rnacentral:rRNA from 2 species
CGGGGGGCGUUUUUAAAAUUUUUAAACCAGCUCAGGACGAACGCUGGCGGCGUGCCUAAUACAUGCAAGUCGAGCGGACGGAUGGGAGCUUGCUCCCAGACCGUCAGCGGCGGACGGGUGAGUAACACGUGGGCAACCUGCCUGUAAGACUGGGAUAACUCCGGGAAACCGGGGCUAAUACCGGAUAACUCUUUUCCUCACAUGAGGGAAAGCUGAAAGAUGGCAUCUCGCUAUCACUUACAGAUGGGCCCGCGGCGCAUUAGCUAGUUGGUGAGGUAACGGCUCACCAAGGCGACGAUGCGUAGCCGACCUGAGAGGGUGAUCGGCCACACUGGGACUGAGACACGGCCCAGACUCCUACGGGAGGCAGCAGUAGGGAAUCUUCCGCAAUGGACGAAAGUCUGACGGAGCAACGCCGCGUGAGUGAUGAAGGUUUUCGGAUCGUAAAACUCUGUUGUCAGGGAAGAACAAGUACCGGAGUAACUGCCGGUACCUUGACGGUACCUGACCAGAAAGCCACGGCUAACUACGUGCCAGCAGCCGCGGUAAUACGUAGGUGGCAAGCGUUGUCCGGAAUUAUUGGGCGUAAAGCGCGCGCAGGCGGUUCCUUAAGUCUGAUGUGAAAGCCCCCGGCUCAACCGGGGAGGGUCAUUGGAAACUGGGGAACUUGAGUGCAGAAGAGAAGAGUGGAAUUCCACGUGUAGCGGUGAAAUGCGUAGAGAUGUGGAGGAACACCAGUGGCGAAGGCGACUCUUUGGUCUGUAACUGACGCUGAGGCGCGAAAGCGUGGGGAGCAAACAGGAUUAGAUACCCUGGUAGUCCACGCCGUAAACGAUGAGUGCUAAGUGUUAGAGGGUUUCCGCCCUUUAGUGCUGCAGCAAACGCAUUAAGCACUCCGCCUGGGGAGUACGGCCGCAAGGCUGAAACUCAAAGGAAUUGACGGGGGCCCGCACAAGCGGUGGAGCAUGUGGUUUAAUUCGAAGCAACGCGAAGAACCUUACCAGGUCUUGACAUCUCCUGACAACCCUAGAGAUAGGGCGUUCCCCUUCGGGGGACAGGAUGACAGGUGGUGCAUGGUUGUCGUCAGCUCGUGUCGUGAGAUGUUGGGUUAAGUCCCGCAACGAGCGCAACCCUUGAUCUUAGUUGCCAGCAUUCAGUUGGGCACUCUAAGGUGACUGCCGGUGACAAACCGGAGGAAGGUGGGGAUGACGUCAAAUCAUCAUGCCCCUUAUGACCUGGGCUACACACGUGCUACAAUGGAUGGUACAAAGGGCUGCAAGACCGCGAGGUUAAGCGAAUCCCAUAAAACCAUUCUCAGUUCGGAUUGCAGGCUGCAACUCGCCUGCAUGAAGCCGGAAUCGCUAGUAAUCGCGGAUCAGCAUGCCGCGGUGGAAUACGUUUCCCGGGCCUUGUACACACCGCCCGUCACACCACGAGAGUUUGUAACACCCGAAGUCGGUGGGGUAACCUUUUGGAGCCAGCCGCCUAAGGUGGGACAGAUGAUUGGGGUGAAUCUAAGGGGGAACCCCCCAUAUAAAGGGGGGGGAAGGGGGCGGAGGAGGGGGGAGAAGGGGGGAGGCGAAGAAGGGGGGGAAAUAAAAUAAAAAGGGGGUAGGGAAAGACGACA